UCUUAUCCGGACCUCAUCGUCGCCGGUAUUAGCGACGGCACUAUCGCCUCUUACUCCAUCUCCUCUUGCCUCGAUUUGAGCUCCGCGGGCAAUUCGUUGGUGC